GGAGGUGUGGCUCAGUGGUAAAGCAUUCACCUAGCACGCAUGAGGUUCUAGGUUCAAUCCCUAUCACCUUUU
rnacentral:tRNA from 1 species